rnacentral:lncRNA from 10 species
GAAGAUGCCACCCACAUUUUAGGGGGCAGCCUGAGCCUUUUCCCAAGCAAGAUGCCUCCUGGGGAGACUAGUGCAGACAGGCAGUUCUGAUUAUGUAUGCAAAUACAGGUCUGGCCCUGAAGCUUAUUUGAGAGCCACACAGCUCAGCUAAGCCACCCUGGAGAAAGAAUCUUACAAAGAAUACUAAAGAGCAUCCAAGUGUGAAGAAUGAAACACACAGAUGAGCCCCAAGAGGAUGAGGAAGGGAGAGGCUGGUGGGGGUCUGAUUCUCAUCUCCACCUUAACAGAAUGCACAUGAAGUCCAGCCAUGGUGUAGCCAAGGAGACCCACUAAGACCACCAAAAGCUUGGAAAUGAGGAUGCAGGGGCAAAGGACGGCAUUAUAGGCGUGAGUGAUAAGAAAUUAUACAGGAAUGACACAUUUGGCAAUAAAGAACACAAAGAGAUAGUUCCUGGACCUGAACAGGAAAAGACGGUGCCAGGAUACUAUGAAGAAUCUUCACAAGCACUGAUUGAAUAGUAAACAAAUAUUUGUGCUCUUCAGGCAUGAAAAACAAAAUAUCAACAAACAGGCAUGGAUUCUUCUGCAGCAUGAGUGAGUUCAGAGGCAGUUCAAAGUUGCUGCAAGUGAAAUUCUUCUGUAAGAGGAUGAUAAAUGGGGAAAAGCACCGGUUUCCCUCUAGAUCAAGGCAUCCAACUAUAAAGAAGAAAUUUGGAAAUGUUAAUUGUGGUAAUGGGUAAUGAAGAGACCAUGAAGUGUAUAAGAUGAGCAAAGAGAGACGGGAAGCUGGAAUGAAAACCAAAAGGAUGUGAAUGAAAACCAAAAGGAUGUGAAUGAAAAGCACAACACUAUACGAUGGCAACACCCACCCACCAGAACAGCUAAAGUGUAAAAGACAAUAUCAACUAUUGGAGGGGAAGAAACUAGAACUGUUGUACAUUGCUGGUGGAAGGGUAAACUAGUAGAUUCCCUUUCAAAUACUAUUCGCCUGCAUCUACUAGAACUGACAUAUGCCUAACUUACGAUUCAGCAAUUCUAUUCCAAAAUAUAUACCAACAGAAAUACAUACAUAAGUUCUAAGUUCAUUAAAAUACAUAUACUUUAAUAUCUAUCAAAGUACUAUUCAUAUAAGCAUCAACUAGGAAACCACAAAUGCCGUCAACAAUAUAAUGGAUAAUUAAAUGAUGGUAUAUUCACCAAAUGGAAUACUAUACAGUAAUGAAAUUGAACAAGGUGCAACUACAUAUUGCAACAUGAAGAAAUCUCACAAGCACUGCAUUAAGUGAAAGAAGCCAGCCACAACAAAAGCAAAAAUUGACAAAUGGGAUCUAAUUAAA